UACGGGGGGGGCAAGCGUUGUUCGGAAUUACUGGGCGUAAAGGGCUCGUAGGCGGCCAACUAAGUCGGACGUGAAAUCCCUCGGCUUAACCGGGGAACUGCGUCCGAUACUGGAUGGCUCGAGUGUGGGAGAGGGAUGCGGAAUUCCAGGUGUAGCGGUGAAAUGCGUAGAUAUCUGGAGGAACACCGGUGGCGAAGGCGGUUAACUGGCCCAACAUUGACGCUGAGACCCGAAAGCAUGGGGAUCAAACAGG
rnacentral:rRNA from 1 species